CAUGAGACGUGGUGGAUGUUACUCUUCAACCUCAUCAUUUCGUGACAAAAAUUACGUAUUCAUAUAGAAAUAGCUACCGAAUAAGCGCCCAUCUAACAGUUAGUGUUAAAAGAGACCAUGUGAAGGGAAAGGAAAGAUGAUUAAUAGAAUAACAAACCCAUAAGAUGAGGAAGAAAUAACGUGUUGAGGAAAGAUGAAUUAACAGUAGUGAGAUGGGGGAGAGUGUUUUGCUGCACCAGCGCUGCUUGGCCAUCAAGCUAGUGAGGGAACACCCUCCACCCACACGACCACACCACACCCACCACGCCUGCACUCCCUCACGACCACCCCACACCUGCACUCCCACACGCCCGACCUCGGUUCACGAUGUCAGGAACGCGACGGAGCCCAGACCAGGAGGCAUUACCACGCCCACUUCAUCCUCCACCGGCAGCGACACGCCCACCAACGGCCCGUCACCCGCCUCCUUACCCACCUCGAACCUGGCCACGCCCUCAGCCACCAACCACAUCACCAAUUACCAAGAUGGCUACCUCCUCUUUCUGGCAUGGCAGACAGCUAACUCCGUGUGUGUGUGGGAUAAGGAGUUGUUGAUGGCAGUACAGGAGGCAGAAUUCGUGGGUCACUUGGUAGGUGACGUAUUGCUGGUGGGCGGGAGUUCGAGCGUGUUGGUCACUCUAACACACGCCUGGUCUAGGGCUCUUCUCGCCGCCCCAACGGGUUUCACCAUAACUAUGCUGGGUGAGAUAUCUGGGUGCAGUGUGGUCAAGGUGCCACAGGGACAGUUUACACCAUUAGCUGAUGCCCUGUGCUGGGUGAUAUACCGACUUACAAAGGAUGGAGGGCGAGCUGAAGCAGAGACCGUCCAAGCUUCCCUUACCACUACCUUCCCGAGUCUUAACGCUCCAGACCCUGCUCACGUCCACACCGUUCUGUCCAACCUGAUCCGUCAGUGUAAGGUGUACUACACGGGCCACAGCUACGGCAUAGUUCACCCCGACACGUACCAGCUCACGUCGGUGCCGGAGAAGUCCCCCGAUACGUCAUUUGCUCUGUCCCUCGCCACGCCGUCCACCCGUCAUCCUCUGGCAUGUCUUGAUAGCGCCAACCACAUGUGCAUCGGCGGCAUGAGUCACUCUGCGGCCCAGACUGACUUGGCUGAACUUAUCACUGGUUCUGCACAGCCCAGUGAUAAAGUUAUUAUUCCAACACCAACCCCACCUGGGUCUUGGAGUGGAGGGUCGGCUGUGUUGGAGCGUCAGGCGUCACUACGGGUGUUGUCCAGUCACCGCACUCACAACCGCACGUCGUCCCUCAGGCUUUCCCCAACCAAGGCUGCACUGUUGGCCACUGCCUUUGGUAACUCGUCAUCGGGCGUCUCCUCGUACGCCUGCAACACCUACCAGGCACAUGAUAUGUCUGACAUCACAGUGAAAGCAGGUGAACGAGGAUCAGUACUGAGCAAAUUACUGCGUGUGUCCCCUCGCCGGCGCCUGGGAUCAUUCUCUGCCCAGUUUCCCCCGCCAGAGUGGGGUGACGACACCGCCCCAGCCGUCCACGUGCACUGUGUUGCCGUCCAGACAUUAUCCCAACGCAGGCAGGAGGACAAGGAGUCGUGGUGGUGCUCUACGUCUCAGUGGACGCCACGGUCUGCUACUCUACCACGGCGACUUAGACGACCCCAAUCUGCCACGCCCCCUCCAUCACAGAGAUCAGACUCGUCUUCUCCGGCUCAUCUGCAUUCAUCGUGUGUUCAGAUUCAAGGUUCACUCUCUCCCUAUCAUUCUUACGUUCAUUCUCAGGCAUCACCAUUGUAUUAUACCCAGAUGUCUGCUAAGGAAGGUUUGGACAGACUUGUGCUUGAGUCCUCACCCCUACAUCGUUGUGGGGAACCUGUCAUAAGCUGCAGAAAUCACAGACAUCGAUCACCAGUACGCCAAAAUUAUGAAAAUCACAAACACCGAUCACCAGUUCACCAAAAUUAUGAAAAUCACAAACACCGAUCACCCGUUCACCAAAAUAUUGAAAAUCACAAACACCGAUCACCGGUUCACCAAAAUUACGAAAAGAAGAAAAAUCACAGUGAUCAGCUAAUAGAAUCCUCACCCAGCCGGCAAACCCUAGACAACCGGGAGACGACGAAGAAACAAACCCUGGAACACCCGACUCACCACGCAGAAUCCCGGACGAGUGCGAACAAACUCCCAGCGCACGCGACGAGGAAACAGUCGACUCAUCCGUGUAGGACGCCGGAAGAGGAACGCGUAGAGUCGUUAGGGGAGACGUACAUCAAAACAUCGGGGGAAGAACCGACGAAAUCAAGAGAGGAUUUAGUCAAGGGGUCGGGAGAAAACACGGAGAAGAGGGCGCAGGGUGAACACACUCCCGGGCCCGGAGAGACGCCGCCAUCAUCCCAACCCCACAGGCACAAGUCGCAUCAUUGUUUGAAAGGAAAGAAUCAGAAGCAACAAGAGAGUAAUCAUAGAAACCACAAAAGAGAUAGAGAGAAGAGGGAGAGCAAAGAUGGAAGACAUGACAGUAAGGAUGUGAUGAUAGGGAGAGUUAAUGUAGAGGAGAUAACGCAGAAGAAUCAAUUGAAAUAUAAUAAAUAUACUUCAUGUGAGAGUAAAGACGAGAAGAAUAAGAAAAUGCUCGAUAUGAAAGAGGGAGAGAAAGAAAAACAGUUUGAAAUCUCACAAGGAGGUAAUAAGCCCGACAACAAGGAUGAGAAGUGGAAUGAAAAUUGUCAACAGCACGAGAAAGAUGGGUCGGUGAAGAGUGAGGGUGGUGGACGCUACAACCGGCUAUCACUCCAGCUCGACUUAGCCGUCACCAACAUGAACAACUCGCGGAAAGUCGUGUCGUCACCUCAGCGUCCGGAAGUCCUCAAGAAUAAUCUGUUACACGGCGACGGUGAAUUGACGCACGUAAAAGGGUCGUGUCAAGACCUCACCUCACGUAACUUGGGCUAUCAAGAAGUGGACAAGUGUCAUAAACAGAUGUGUAGCCAAACACUGGACCAAGUGCAACAGCAGUCGGUGAGUCAAGGGCAGCAGUCACACGUAACGUCCAACACCAAACAGCAGCAACAUCCUCGGUCGCCCAAGAAGAAGUCGUCGCCGGGUACUGAUGUGCAGAAUGUUACCAGUAUUAUACCUUUAGAAAACGAGAAAACUGUCACGAAAGACGUCGGUGAUACGAGUCCAAACAGCAGCGUGAAGGACCCAGACAAACCCGGCAGCAGCCCAGACACGGGGGGCUUGUCGGUAAGUACGUAUCCGAGCCUCUCAGAGUUGAAUCUUAAUUUCAGCUCCUUGGCGGCCCAGAAGAUACUGUGUGGGGCGAGUGUGAACAGCAUCGACACAUUGGUGGAGGUGAACUUGGCGGCUGAGAAGCGCAACUUUGAUAAUAAUAAACACUCGGACUCGGUUACCAGUACUGACUUUGGCUUUCUAUAAGUAAGGUAUUGUGCUUUGAAUUAUUGUAUUGUAAAGAAGGAACUGGAUUUUACUAUUUAUAGACGAUGGCAUCGAUUUUGAUAUUCUCAGAUUUGGCACUGUAGUAAUUUUAAAGAUUGACCUUAUUUAUUAUAUGCUUCGGGGAAAAUAUUACAUGAGUUAUUGAGUUAAUUAAAACAACUUCUGAGAUUCAUAACAAAUGCAGAAUACCAAAUACCUGAUGAGCAGACAUUUAUACAGCCAGCUGGGCGUUCCAUCAUGAGGAUCUGAUAAUGGAAAUGAACUCUAGCAUUUAGUUUAUAUAUAUAUAUAUGUGUGUGUGUGUGUGUAUGUGAUUUCUCUGGUACAGUGAGGAUGACAAGGUACCACUGGUUUAGGCAGAGUGGUGUGUAUAGUACAGUGAGGGUGACAAGGUACCACUGGUUUAGGUAGAGUGGUGUGUAUAGUACAGUGACAAGGUACCACUGGUUUAAGACAGGGAGGUCUUGAACACUUGAGGCUCACAUAGACUCACUUGAUGGAGUAUUUAUUAUCAUAUAUUUUGAACGUUUUGAUAAAUUCCCCGUUUCUGAUAUUUUGCUCUUGAAUUUGGUCAUGGUUUUGCAUCUACUCGUGUAAGUCACUCAGGGCAAAAACAAAAAGCGAAAAUCAUUUAAAAGUGCAAUUAAAGUUUCACGUUUGAAUUAUAGUUCAGCAAGUUCUCUCAUCUGUCGUCUUUAUUGCCAGCUGUUUACCGGCUUAUAAUGGCAACCAAGGUAUUUGUUUGCCCGUAAUUGAGGUAUGGCAUCUUUGUGUAAACUCAGGGACAUUUUAUCUCGGUGAAUUCAUUUAGGUUCGUCGUACUGUUGUGUCUAUUUUGUGAUGGUGCGAGUUAGUUUAGGUUGGAGGUGUUUAGGUGAUGUCCGAUUGCUUGUGUGUGUGUUCAUGCAAGUGUGAAUGUGUGAGUGCGUGUGUUUUGAGCAUGUUUGGGUGUAUGUGUCCAAGCAUAUGUGAAAAAGUGUGUGUGAGCGUGUGUGAAUAUGUGUCUGUGUGUGUGUGUCAACCCAAGCUGAACGUGACUUAUGGUGCGAGACAUCAAAAACAACACUCCGUCACGUCAAUAACUCGAGAUUGCAAUGACCAAUUGGGUUCGGAUAUGUAGGAGGCAAUUAAAGCUUGGUAAUAUUGAAGAGUGUCCGAAAGUGCUUAUGAUGUUUGGAUAGUUCCAGGCUCACUGUGACCUAGGGAUUGAGGGGAUGGGGGACAAUGUAAGGUAUGCGAUUACCUGUAAGAACAGUCUUGGUUUACAUUAAUACCAAAUUCAUGUUAUUGAAAUCGCACGUCUCAUCUUGAAACUCACUAUUGCUACGAGAUUUUCAGUUAAAUUAUUAUACAAAUGUAAUUUUAAAUUUUAUAUAUUAUUUAGAAAUAUAGCUUAUAGGUCUGCCACUGUGGAGGUUUGUGCCAAAGUACUUAAAAUUGUUUCUGUUCAUAUAGCACUUUGAGGUGUACUUUUAGUUGGUGGUAACACUGUACUGUAGUGGUAAAAAUUGUGGACUUUGUAAUGUAAAAUUUGUUAAUGUAUUUUGCACCUGAAUUAUAUUUGCAUUAAAACUAACACUAUUUUUUUGUUAUGAGUUGUAGAUUAUUUACAAUGUUAUGAAGAUUUGUUGUGUAUCUUGAGUUGUAGAAGAUGUAUUGUAACUAACAUUGUUGGUAUUUAGAGAGUUUCUGUAAUGUUAAAACAGAUGUAAUUUGCACCAUGAGUUGUAGUCUCAGUGAACUAACAAUGUUUAUAAAAAUAUAUAGAUAACUAUUAUGUAAAAAGGACCACAUGAAGAUUAGCCACCCUAGCCUAUUUCACCUGAUGAUUAAACACCUUUAAUACUCACCUAACACGACCCAUCAGGUGAUAUAAACUGGGGUGCCUAAUUUUCAUGUGAUCGUGUAAGAAUUAUGUACUGUACUGGAUGGAUUCUCCUGACAGAUCAAAGUUAUGUUGCACAGUUUGAGUAAGUUGUGCCAUACAUUGUCACAUUGGUAUUAAUACUUAACCCCUUGUGUAUCGGGGUCCCCUGUCUGCAAUAUGUUAUCAGUGCAGUGGGGAUUUUGUUUUUAAGAUUUGUACAAGUUUUAAGCAGAUAAUUAAUCAUUCAUUUUUGUGUUCUGUCAAAAUAUCUAUGGACUCUUGUUGCCUGGAUUCUGUUUCAGGUGAUGGACUCAAACUAGUUGGGUUAGGUUAGGUUUGUGACGGUUACACCUCAAGUUGAUGAACGUGGGGGAGAAAAAACACUUGAUAUUUAUCGAAUCUCAUUAAUGUUUCAACAGUUGUUUAAUUAGACCAUAUAAAAAUUCCACACCCUAGUUUAUUUCACCUGAAGAUUAAUCACCCUUACAUUGACCUAAUCUAACCCACAGAUAGCAUUAUGGGUGAUUAAUCCCCUAGUGAAAUAGACUGGGGUGGCUAAUCUUCAGGUGAUCUACAGUAUUUACAUUUCAAAACAAUAGUAAAUGGAGACUGAGGUCAAGAAAGUCACUCAGGUUUAUCUUUGCUCUCUCGUGCUACACCGUGACGCUUAUUUUGGUCGUAAUUUAGUGCCGUAUCGCUCAAUAUACAUUCAUGACAACUGCAUUUAUGUUAGGAUCCUCUCAGGUGGGGGAACUAUGUCACCCCAUGCUGUUGGGGGUGGUGCGAGGUCCAUGGAUUUAUUGCACUUGUUACUUUCGCACACUUUGCCAUGGGGUCUUAUUGUGUGUGUGUGUUUGGGAUGUGGGGUUUGUGUGUUUGUAGGGAGUGUGUAUGGAGGGAUGUGGAGUUUGUGUGGGGUUGGGGGUGUGUAGGGAUGUGUAUGUAUGUGCGUGUAAGGAUGUGUGUCUGUGUGUAACGCCACUAGAUCAAACUAAGCUAUAGUCUCGAGCUUUGCCACAAUGCUGCCUUAUACGGGAGCCUCAAGUGUGUUCAAUCGUCAGUAUUUUUCCCUCCAUGACUUUGCCAAAUCACGGCCACUUUAGUUCUCCGUGUGUUUAUGACUUUCCUCCAUUGCGGUGAUUCUGGGUACGGUACACCUUGCUUCAUAACAGUGUGGGUUAUGUGAUGUUGAGUUCACUUAACCCUAUGUGUAUUGGGUCCUCUCUCUACUGAAUAAAAUCGUCCGGUGUUAGCCAAAGAAAACAUUAAAAGUAGCGUCUCGAUAGUGAAGUGGUUAAAAUAUAAAUGAUUUUCCGCUUAAAUGACGUAUUUCUUGAAGUCAUUAUGGCAUUAUGUGACUUAAGCCGUUGUGAAUGUCAGAUGUAUAUGACACCUCUGUAUAGUAUGUCCAAUAUCAUCGCCAUGAGGGAAAGUUAUCCACAUCUCCAGUACAGAACCUGGAUCUACUGGGGCUCUUGAUAUAUUAUGGAUAAAUCAGUGCAUUUACUACGAUCAUAUAUUGCUCAGUAAUCCUGCAUUUGUUAAUUUUUGUUUCAUAACUCACUUGUUAAUUAUGCUAGAUAGUUCACUUGUUUAUUUUAUUAGUGCACCUGUUAAUUUAUCUCCACUUAAAACAAUAUUUAUUUUACUAUGCCGACUGUGUUUUGUGACUGCUGUUUGACCCGACUGUCUAAAUUGUCACUCAGUCUGCCAGUCACUCUCCUUAGGACUGAGGAAUCACAGCAUAUAUCAUGGUACACACCUUUCUUGAUUACUCACUACGUCGACCCAAUGUAGAUUUUUUCUUCCUGUCUGUGUGUGAGUAGCCCUUACUUCUAUUACAUGAAUGAGAAUCCUAUACAGUAUUUGAUCUGGUUAAUAUCUCUCCUGUUGUUCUUUUGUGAGGUUUAUCUAUUAUUAAUAUUCCUCAUCGCUUAUCUGAGAGUGGAGGAAAGACGUCUACAUUCAAUGCAACGUUUAUGUCAUUCCUCUCGUCAUGUUCUCACCUGGAGUGCCUCAUUCUCCAGGUGUGAGAGACUCUUGGUUUGACUCGACCAAUCGCAACACCUGAUGUAAGACUCGACCAAUCUCAACGCCUGAUGUAAGACUCGACCAAUCUCAGCACCUGAUGUAAACAUUAUUCAUGUAUCACUUCACCUUGAUAUGAUUGAUGUAUAAGCCAACAUGAGGAGUACACUACACAUGGUAUCUGUAUUCAAGAGAAGAUAUUCCAAUUGAUAUUUUAGUAUUAGACAAGAAAACAUUCCAUAACUAUUUGAUGUGGAGUAAUAUUCUGUCUGGGGUUUUAGGAAGAUUAUGAGAAUAUUUGUUAGAUUCGAGGUGAGUGAAUAUAAGGUUAAAAUAAACACAGGUUAUGAAAAUGUCUUUGAAGUGACUAGAUGAUAUUAAUGUUAAAUUUAAAGAGGAAAGUAAUUUAUAUAUUGAUAAUUACUUACAUUUUAGGAACAUUUAAUGGCAAAUUACUUAAGGAUUUUGAUUGUUUGAUGGAGGUAAUUAGUCCUAGUUAACUAUAUCACAGCUUUGUGUAAUGGUAUUAAUUGGUGUCAUCUGGGAAACACAGGAAACAGUAUAUACAGUAUUGGGUUCAGUAGAAAAAAUUGUGCCAAAUUUGUACUUACCAUUGUUAAGAAAAUAUUAUAUUUAUUAUAUAUGUGUUGUCUUGUGCAGUACUAUAACAGGAAAAAAGAGCUAAUUUAUAUUAGACGUAAGUAAUUUAAACACAGGCGUCGGAACAGAGGAAGAUGUACAGCCACCUAGGAAGCAUCUGUCACCUCUCCUCCUGAACCACGAACCCCCAAGAUUCAGACUCGUGAAUCCGAAGCAUUUAUGGGUAGAAUAAUGCAUGGACGUCUACUGCUUCGUAUGAAUCUGAAUCUCGGGGUUUGUGGUUCAAGAGUAGAGAUGACAGGACUUGUGGGUGACUGAUUGACUGACUGUACUAUAGGUCCACUCUCCGGACUGACUGUACUAUAGGUCCACUCCCCUGAUUGACUGUACUAAAGGUCCACUCUCUUAUGACUGUAAUUCUCAGCAGUUAUUUCCUCCAACAGGGCUAGGCAUCUUGACCCCUUCAGUGCUAUGAUUUAACCCUGUGGUGUAAUCUAACCCUUGCGGAAGAUCAGUUAAUACUUGAGAGAUAUGAUAUUGUACUCGAGGGGUUAAGUCAUCAUACUCAAGGGACUCAAGAGGUUAAUUCGUCACACUCAAGGGGUUAAAUCGUCACA
rnacentral:misc_RNA from 1 species